rnacentral:rRNA from 1 species
CAGUUCGGAUUGUAGUCUGCAACUCGACUACAUGAAGCUGGAAUCGCUAGUAAUCGCAGAUCAGAAUGCUGCGGUGAAUACGUUCCCGGGUCUUGUACACACCCGCCCGUCACACCAUGGGAGUCGGAAAUGCCCGAAGCCGGUGACCCAACCAAAAGGAGGGAGCCGUCGAAGGCAGGUCUGAUAACUGGGGUGAAGUCGUAACAAGGUAAC